GGUCUCCCAGCCCUGGUGGUUGCUGUGUCAGUAGGUUUCACUAGAGCCAGAGGUUACGGUACACCCAGCUAUUGCUGGCUGUCCUUGGAAGGCGGGCUUCUCUACGCAUUUGUCGGACCUGCAGCUGUCAUCGUAUUGAUGAACAUGCUGAUCGGUAUUGUGGUCUUCAACAAGCUCAUGUCUCGAGAUGGCAUCUCUGACAAGUCUAAAAAGCAGAGAGCUGGGGCCUCUCUGUGGAGCUCCUGUGUGGUUCUCCCUCUGCUGGCUCUGACCUGGAUGUCUUGCUGUGUUGGCCAUCACCGACCGCCGCUCCACACUCUU